GAAAACUAUAUCAUGGGAAACCAUCACGUAUAGUUUGGGUGACAGCAACAAGAUCGUACUAAGAAUUAAUACUGAUUGUAU
rfam:Metschnikowia bicuspidata var. bicuspidata NRRL YB-4993 METBIscaffold_1, whole genome shotgun sequence.